AGUGAGGACAGGGAUUGAUCUGGCAUCCUCAUGGGUACUAGUCGGGUUCGUUUCUGCUGGGCCACGACGGGAGCUCCUGUAAACAAGAAACUCUUGGAAGAGAAGUCUGCUGCUUCUCUGACUUACAACCCGACCAUGCUGACCCGCAUGAUCUCCACGAUGAGAGCUGGCUUUUCUUACCAGGAUCUUCCUUUCUUAACAUUUUAUGGGGAAGAGGAGAGGGGCUAAAUAUUUCCCAAGACCUAAAGGGCAGAAUUCAUUUAUCCAUUGACACAACUAGUAUCUGUCUAUAAACAGCACAUGCCAGGAUCCAGAAAGGGCCUUAAGACGCAGCCCCUACCCUAGGGGGGGCUCAGUCCGCUAAUGGACCGUCAUGUAAAUGAACGAGGUGGUGACCCCAUGACAGCUCAUGGCCUCACUCCGGUGCAGACAGGAUGCUGGGACCUAUUUUCCUUUGGUCCUCCCUUCCCACCUCUUCCCGUCCAAAGGACACCGUGUGCAGGGUGUGAGUGUGCAAAUCAGUCUCAGAGGAAGUAAAAGUGUGCAAGAGAAAGAGACCGAAAACUUGCCAAGAACCCUUUCCCUUUCAGAGCCUUCCCGGCCUGUAAAGAGGCUAGCAACUUGGAAGAGUGAGCAGGCCCGUCGCAACCACCCAGCCGUCACUAGAGGGGCGGCGUCAGGAGAGAGCCAAGCUGCCAUCCCAGGGUUAAAGAACAAUUCCGAUUCAGCUGUCAACUUCUCAAGACCCGACCAUCUGAGACAGGAUGGGCGUCCCACCCUUGCGGCUCCUUUCCGGAGGACUCAGAGUAUCUCCCGCUGCCCCUCCCCUCCCGGGCUCGCUUGCCAGCAAACCCUCUGCCACACACUCCCUCUAGUCAGGACCGGAAAGGGGGACUAAUGACCAGUUUCUCGCGCUCCUCUAUGGACUGCAGAUACUGCUGCUUGCCUUCCUGGGAUUCAUCCUUCUUCUUUAGAUAAGGCUCGAUGGAUUUGUACUGAGCAUAGAAAUUGCUCAAAUCCUGUGGGUGCGAGGAAAAGAAAUGAGUCAGAGUCCACCACCGCCCCUUAUCUUUCUUUCCUACCCCUGUUUCUUGGACACAGCCCACUUUUCUGCACAAGUCAGACCCUCUGCCUUUGGCACAGACACGUGCAAAGAUCACACAAGGAGAAACGGUCACAACGUCAGUGCGGUUAGAAAUCUCUCCUUCACCCACUUGGGAACCUUUCCAAUCCCACGGCCCUUUCUCCCCAGUUGCCCUGAAAACACGCAGUCAGGGAAGGGAAGGUGGCCAAGCGCAGGGAGGCGGAAAUUACAACCCACAACAACCGCUGCUUUCCCAACUGCCAUUUUCCACAAGAAUUCUUUAUACUUAGGACCAAAUCCUUCACUUCUGAAAGCAUUCCAAGUCUAGAAUUCUCGCCCUGUUAUUCCCAAGCAGUCCAUACUACAUGAGCUGCUGGAGGAUCUUCUAGGCCAUUUACCUUCUGCCAUUCAAAUUCCUUAAACUCAGACACGAAAAAAUCCUGCCCUGAAGAACUAUAGUACAGCACACACACAUAUACCCCCCCCCACGCACACACAGGGAAAAAAAAAAGUGAAGGAGGUGGAGAGAAGGAGAGACAAGCAGAAACUCACAGGAACAAGAUCCUUUAUCACAUACAUAUGUGGAAGAGGGUAGAUUUUUGAAACUUUGUUGAGGUUGGUGUCAAUUCUUCGGGUGCAAGCCAGAGUGUUGCCUCCAUUGAUGUUCAUGGCACAGGAGCCGCAGAUGCCUGAGAGGGAACAGAAGAGGUGCCCAGACACCGUCAGUCCAAGCAGCAAAUUCUCCCCGAGGGACUGCUGUUACUCUACCAUCAGGAGUGGUGCUGACAUGGAAUACACCUGUGCCAGAGCCUGGAUACAGAUUAUCCAGAGACAGCGCCCAUUCUGUUGUUUCCAGAGAGUGGAACAGCUUCCCAGGGGAGGAUAUGAGACCCACUUUUCUGGAAGAAUGAACUAAUGUGAAACCAAACCAAAGCAAGCAAAAAGAAGGUUCUGACUAAGGACCCUGAAGUGAGAAUUUUCUUAGCCUGGACAAUUUCCUGUGUAUGGAAUUUCCUAGUUAUUUUCAGAAUUAAAAGUGAC